GUUAUUCAGAUUUGUAAUUUACAACUAAUUCCACAGUCAACUCUUUGUCAGACCUGCAAGUUUUAUAUUUAUGUUGAAAAUUAAAAUAUUUAGAGGGAUAGGCAACCAUCGGCAAUCCAGAUGUUGUGGACUACAUCCCCCAUAAUGCUCUUACACACAUAAUGCUGGCAAAGCAUCACUAGUGCAAAACAUCUGGAGUCCUGAAGGUUGCCUAUAAGACAUAUAGAAUAUAGAGAGAUAUAGAAUACUUUUAUCAAACAUGCAAUGAAGUUACUUGUAUAAAAAAGUUAUCUGGCACAAUAGUGUAAUUCUACACCGUUGGCCAGUUGGUUCGAAAGCACUAAUAGAGCAAAUUCCCUCAUUCUGACGUAGAAAAGGCAAUUCGCCUCAUUAUGAUAAUAAAUCUUUUUCUGUAAUAUAAUUGUAUAAAACAUCUUAUUACUAACCUUAUUACUUACUUAUUCAUACACACCCAUAAUUGUUUAGUUAUGCACACUUCUUUUAUUCUGGAACUUUCUGUUUGCAAAUAUAUAUAAUAAAUUGGAGUCCUUAUUCAGCC